rnacentral:rRNA from 1 species
UACGAAGGGGGCUAGCGUUGCUCGGAAUUACUGGGCGUAAAGCGCACGUAGGCGGCUUUCUAAGUCGGGGGUGAAAUCCUGGAGCUCAACUCCAGAACUGCCUUCGAUACUGGAGAGCUUGAGUCCGGGAGAGGUGAGUGGAACUGCGAGUGUAGAGGUGAAAUUCGUAGAUAUUCGCAAGAACACCAGUGGCGAAGGCGGCUCACUGGCCCGGUACUGACGCUGAGGUGCGAAAGCGUGGGGAGUAAACAGG